AUUGAACGCUGGCGGCAGGCCUAACACAUGCAAGUCGAGCGGAUGAAGGGAGCUUGCUCCUGGAUUCAGCGGCGGACGGGUGAGUAAUGCCUAGGAAUCUGCCUGGUAGUGGGGGAUAACGUCCGGAAACGGGCGCUAAUACCGCAUACGUCCUGAGGGAGAAAGUGGGGGAUCUUCGGACCUCACGCUAUCAGAUGAGCCUAGGUCGGAUUAGCUAGUUGGUGGGGUAAAGGCCUACCAAGGCGACGAUCCGUAACUGGUCUGAGAGGAUGAUCAGUCACACUGGAACUGAGACACGGUCCAGACGCCUACGGGAGGCAGCAGUGGGGAAGAUUGGACAAUGGGCGAAAGCAUGAUCCAGCCAUGCCGCGUGUGUGAAGAAGGUCUUCGGAUUGUAAAGCACUUUAAGUUGGGAGGAAGGGCAGUAAGUUAAUACCUUGCUGUUUUGACGUUACCAACAGAAUAAGCACCGGCUAACUUCGUG
rnacentral:rRNA from 1 species